rnacentral:miRNA from 1 species
CUGCCUCUUUGCUUCAGGAAU